AACGAACGCUGGCGGCAGGCUUAACACAUGCAAGUCGAACGCCCCGCAAGGGGAGUGGCAGACGGGUGAGUAACGCGUGGGAAUCUACCCAGUUCUACGGAACAACAGUUGGAAACGACUGCUAAUACCGUAUACGCCCUACGGGGGAAAGAUUUAUCGGAAUUGGAUGAGCCCGCGUAAGAUUAGCUAGUUGGUGGGGUAAUGGCCUACCAAGGCGACGAUCUUUAGCUGGUCUGAGAGGAUGAUCAGCCACACUGGGACUGAGACACGGCCCAGACUCCUACGGGAGGCAGCAGUGGGGAAUAUUGGACAAUGGGCGCAAGCCUGAUCCAGCCAUGCCGCGUGAGUGAUGAAGGCCUUAGGGUUGUAAAGCUCUUUCACCGAUGAAGAUAAUGACGGUAGUCGGAGAAGAAGCCCCGGCUAACUUCGUGCCAGCCGCCGCGGUAAAAC
rnacentral:rRNA from 1 species